rnacentral:lncRNA from 10 species
CCUAGGAGUGUCCAUGGGGGAUGUUCAUAACUGAGAAGCAUCAUUGCUGGCCAGGGGACUGGAAAACACAUCAUCUUACAUCCCUGCAUUCCCGCUCCAAAUGUUUGAAAUCCCAGGAACCCACAGCCUGUCCUCUCACUCGAGCUCUCAGGGGCACUCCUGCUCUGUAGGAAAUAGAAACUGUCCCUUCAUUAUCCCAUUACGUCAUUUUUGCUGCACAGAGUCUUGCACAGUGGGUCCUAGUCAUUUUCCCUGUUUACCUUCAUCUCCUUUCUGUCUCUUCUGAGAGUCUGAUUCCAUCUAGCACCUCUUCUCUUUCCUGUGAGGCCAGUUCUCCCCAGGUCCAACCUCAGGGUUGCAGUUCAAAGGUUGUCCCCUUCCCCUUCCCCUUCCGACAGAGUCUUGCAUCCAGGCUGGUGUGUGGUGACACGAUCACAGCUCACUGUAGCCUUGAUCUACUGGACUCAAGAACCCUCCCACCUCAGCUUCGCAAGUAGUUGUGACCACAGGUACAUGGCACCCACCUGUUUAUUUUUGUUUGUGCAAAGGGGUCUCAUUUUGUCGCCCAGGCUGGUUUAAACUCCUGGCCUCAUGCCAUCUUCCCACCGUGACCUCCCCACUCUACAUU